GGAUAGCGGCUCAGCGGUAGAGCGUUUACCUAGCACGUUCGAGGCCCUGGGUUCAAUCCUCAGCACCA
rnacentral:tRNA from 1 species